rnacentral:rRNA from 1 species
AUUGAACGCUCGCGGGAGGCCUAACACAUGCAAGUCGAACGAGUGGCGGACGGGUGAGUAAUAUCUUGGAAACUGCCCAGUAGAGGGGGAUAACUACUCGAAAGAGUGGCUAAUACCGCAUACUAUCGGAUCGGCCGAUAUGGGAUUAGCUAGUUGGUGGGGUAAAGGCUCACCAAGGCGACGAUCCGUAGCUGGUUUGAGAGGACGACCAGCCACACUGGAACUGUGACACGGCCCAGACUCCUGCGGGAGGCAGCAGUGGGAAAUAUUGCACGAUGGGGGCAACCCUGGUCCAGCCGUGCCGCGUGUAUGAGAAGGCCUUCGGGUUGUAAAGUACUUUGGGCAGGGAAGCGGUAUCUGCAGAAGAAGCACCGGCUAACUCCGUGGCAGCAGCCGCGGUAAUAC